rnacentral:tRNA from 1 species
GGGCCUAUAGCUCAGUUGGUUAGAGCGACCGGCUCAUAACCGGUUGGUCCCUGGUUCAAGCCCAGGUGGGCCCA